GAGUUUGAUCUUGGCUCAGAUUGAACGCUGGCGGCAGGCCUAACACAUGCAAGUCGAGCGGAUGACGGGAGCUUGCUCCUUGAUUCAGCGGCGGACGGGUGAGUAAUGCCUAGGAAUCUGCCUGGUAGUGGGGGACAACGUUUCGAAAGGAACGCUAAUACCGCAUACGUCCUACGGGAGAAAGCAGGGGACCUUCGGGCCUUGCGCUAUCAGAUGAGCCUAAGGUCGGAUUAGCUAGUUGGUGGGGUAAUGGCUCACCAAGGCGACGAUCCGUAACUGGUCUGAGAGGAUGAUCAGUCACACUGGAACUGAGACACGGUCCAGACUCCUACGGGAGGCAGCAGUGGGGAAUAUUGGACAAUGGGCGAAAGCCUGAUCCAGCCAUGCCGCGUGUGUGAAGAAGGUCUUCGGAUUGUAAAGCACUUUAAGUUGGGAGGAAGGGCAGUAAGUUAAUACCUUGCUGUUUUGACGUUACCGACAGAAUAAGCACCGGCUAACUCUGUGCCAGCAGCCG
rnacentral:rRNA from 1 species